rnacentral:tRNA from 1 species
GCUGUGGCACAGUGGUACAGCACUUGCCUAGCAUGUGUGAGGCGCUGGGUUCAAUUCUCAGCACUGCA